AUGUCCGGUUGUAGAAAGGUACUCCUCGCUUCGGUAUCAAAGGGAAGCUUGCCCCUAGAUACGUGGGACCUUUCAAGAUUGUCAGCAAGAGAGGCGAUCUUGCCUAUCAACUCGAGCUUCCUUCAAACUUUGCAAAUGUUCAUGAUGUGUUGCAUCUCUCAGCUUCGAAAGUGCUUCAAGGCUCCUGACCACACCGUCAAAUUUGAGGACAUUGAGCUCCAAGAAGAUCUCUCCUAUCGUGAGCACCCCAUCGCUAUUAUUGAUGAGACUAAACAUAAGACUCGCAACAAGUCAAUCAAAUUCCUCAAAGUCAAGUGGUCACACCAUUCCGACCGUGAAGCUACCUGGGAACGCGAGGAUCACCUCCGUUCUGAGUACCCGGCGUUCUUUCACUCCUAG
rnacentral:rRNA from 1 species